CAUCAAUUUAGUAUCUGUCAUUCUCAGUAACCCAAACCCAUUUUCCCACUCCAAAAAUACGCAAAUCCAGUUCCCAUUUACCCCUUUAGGACUCUCAAUAUAAUAUAUUUAGUAAUUUAAAUUAAAAUACUAAAAUUAUAAUUUGAAAACCAAUACCAUAAAGCAAUAAUGAUUAAAACCAGCUAAAUGUUAAAAGGCCAUUUUCUGUAAUAGGAUGGUUUCGAGUGCAAUUUAGAUGAAACAUGCGCGAGUUUAUCAAGAAGCAUCAAGUGCUAUUUUUGAGGUAUUUGAAUUUCAAUUGAUUACAGAAUUGAAUUGUAUGAUUUAUCACAGGAAACCAUACAUAUAUAAAAGUCUAUACAUUACACAAAACUGACGUUCUAGAAGCUCAAAUAGAAAUUAUUAAUGCUUUUGGGCUCCUCUCGAAUAUUACGUUGAUUUAAAUAAUAAGUAGUUAUACCGGUGAGCCAGAGGGUGGUAUACGUCCUGUUAUAGUAAAGUAAAGAUAAAGUAAACUAAUGAAAAGAAAUACGCUGCCUAUAUAUGACAUCAAAUAGUAUGUAUAUGUGUAAAUAAGUAUAACUUUAAUUUUUUUAAAUAAACAAGUAGUUGAUGCGAGAAGAAUGUGAGCAGGUGUCCCAGAAAAUGUUUUUAUGUUGGCAGAAAGAAAAAAGGGAAGGAAGAAAAAGGGGGAAAGAAAGAAAAGAAGGAAAGGAAAGAAAGAAAAAAGAAGGAAAGAAAAAGAAUAGAAAGAAAGAGUAACUGCAGGGACAGACGCUAGGUGUAGGGUGUUCUCCCAAAAUAAUUUACGAAAGAACUUUGAUAGCGGAACGUAGCCUCAUUUGCAGGCAACCUUGUUUUACCCCCUUUGGCCCUUGUUUUACCCCCUUUGCCUUGGCCUAUAUCGUACAACUGCUCUGGUUCCAAAAUUUGCUAUACGUAUCGUUCCCUUCCCUCCUUAAUUUCGAUUCCCAAUUUUAUUUCUGUAAGAAGUAGUAACAGUAACAAAUGACUUUAUUAGCAUGACUUUACAUAGUAUUGCUUAUUAGUACGUUGGUAUGGUAUAAAUAUUUACAAUUGCAAAAUGUUUUGUGGUAGUAUGACAUACUGUCAGUAUCGAGUACUACACGAAAUAGAAUUGAGGUUAUUGAUAUAAAGGAAGACUUAGUUUACAGAUGAGUACCCUACUAUUUACAGUAUGAAUUGAAGAAGUUUGGGUUUUAGUUAAACAGUCUAUUGACUGUCAGCAUUCAUGGCUUCAAGGCAUUUAGAUCUCUUCUCAAAACAUAAAGAGAGAAAUUCGAUAAUUUUAUCACAGUUUGAUUAUCAGUUGAUUUUAUUAUCUCAACACGUACACUGUGUUCGUUUA